GCCUGGCUGGCUCAGUCAGUAGAGCAGGACACUCUUGAUUUCCAGGUCAUGAGUUCAAGCCCCAUGUUGGGGC
rnacentral:tRNA from 1 species